UACGGGGGGGGCAAGCGUUGUUCGGAAUUACUGGGCGUAAAGGGCUCGUAGGUGGCCAACUAAGUCAGACGUGAAAUCCCUCGGCUUAACCGGGGAACUGCGUCUGAUACUGGAUGGCUUGAGUUUGGGAGAGGGACGCGGAAUUCCAGGUGUAGCGGUGAAAUGCGUAGAUAUCUGGAGGAACACCGGUGGCGAAGGCGGGUCUCUGGGCAUCUCCUGACGCUGAGGCGCGAAAGCGUGGGGAGCAAACGGG
rnacentral:rRNA from 1 species